CAGCAGCCGCGGUAAUACGGAGGGUGCAAGCGUUAAUCGGAAUUACUGGGCGUAAAGCGCACGCAGGCGGUCUGUCAAGUCAGAUGUGAAAUCCCCGGGCUUAACCUGGGAACUGCAUUUGAAACUGGCAGGCUGGAGUCUUGUAGAGGGGGGUAGAAUUCCAGGUGUAGCGGUGAAAUGCGUAGAGAUCUGGAGGAAUACCGGUGGCGAAGGCGGCCCCCUGGACAAAGACUGACGCUCAGGUGCGAAAGCGUGGGGAGCAAACAGGAUUAGAUACCCCAGUAGUCCCUGUCUCUUAUAC
rnacentral:rRNA from 1 species